CCUCAGAGCACCGCCCCGCACGCGAGCAUGACGGGAAUGGGCCGACGCCCCGCCUCGCGGGCUGCUUGGCGCGCGGAGCUUGCCGGGAGAAAGGGAAUGUGGGUGGGUUGCCUUGGCAACGUGCGGCUUGGCACGAGCUGAACAGUUGGGGUCCCGAGACCAGAGCGGCCGCUGCGCGCGGGCUUUCGAGGGCGGCGGGUGGUUCGGUUACUGCCCGGCGGCGGCCGAGCCUGGAAGGAGAGGGCGGGAAAAACCACACGGGAGCGGGGCGUAGAAGCGGAAGAGAGGGGUCCGGGGCGAAGGGAGGGUGUGCAGCGUCUCCGGCCGUGUCGAGUGAGGGGAGCUGUGCAGGGUGUCCCAGAGCGAGGGGAGGAAGCGGAGGGGAGACGGGCUCGGAAAGUGCAGGGAAACGGAGAAGAGGGAAGAAACAGCGGGGCGGGCCUCCUGGCAAGGCAGGUUUCGUGGAGUCACAUCACUGAGCAGACUGUAGGAGACCCGAUUUCACUGCGUCAGCAUGCCCCAGCCAGAGACGCCCUAUCACCGAGCAAACCCGUACUCAGUGUUGGAAGAAGAGUGUAUUUACGCACACGAUAGAGGAGGGAAGAAUGGUCAGGGAAAGGGGAGCGGGCAGGUCGGACACCCGAGCCUAGAGCCCGGUUGUGGAGCAGGGAGGGUCGUCAUGGGUUGCUUGCACGUGUAGUUGGAAGUCUGACCACAGAGCCCUUUCUGGCGCCUAGAGAUCUAACCACCUUGACUUCCUCUGCCUGUGGUAGACUCAUCUUUGGGUUAAGGAGGGGAAAGAGGAAGGGACAAGAUGCCCAGUAGGAAUUACAAGGAAGGGAUGCCGAUGGGAGGAAAGGGGAGAGAGCACCAUGAAAUCCAUUCUGGUGAGAACUAGGCACUGGUUUUAAGAGAAGUCCAUGUCCUGACACCCAGUCCCAUUUUGCGGCUUCUGAGUGAGGUGGACCAAGUUAAGACUAGGGGCUCCGGACGAGAAGACUUUAGGUAAUUCUUGGCAACAGAGACUUCACAUGGGACCCACCCGCCCACCGUCUUGUUGAUGCUUUGUUCAUUCUUUGCCCGGAUACCUUGAGGUCCCAGCUCAUUUCCCUCAGGGAGGACCUUGGUGGUCUUUUGAUAGAACCUGCUGUGACCUGAGGUGAACGGCCCCUGUGGGCAAAGGGGGGAACACACGUUACCACUGAUGACUCCAGGGAACAUCACAGAUUGAGUUCCCCAAAGUUUUCUGAGGCCGCCUUGUCAUCUGUAAAACAAUUACAGCUCUCCCCUCUCCAGAGGUGGUUAUAUAUAGAGACCUAGUGAGACCCUGCAAGUGCUUUUAGAGGGUGUGGGCCCUCUAAUGCAAGGAUGAGUUACUUGAAAGGCCAGUCCCUGUGGCUUGUGGAGCCACUGCGGGAAGGAAGGGGAUGGAGCCCGCUGCCACCACUGGCUAGCCGGGCCAGGUCAGCUUGAUGUGUGGACCCUCAUGUACCCCCAUUCCCCCUGGCCCUGCUCUGGGCCCAGAGACCUGGAUUUAAAUCCUGGACCUGUCACUUACUAGCUGAGUGAUCUUGGGCAAGACAUUUUGGCUUUCCUGCUUAAGUAGGACAAAGCUGGCCUGUGAAUGAAACCAUAGAAACCAAGGCACUUCUGGUUCCAGAAGGAGGCUGCUGUGGUUGGGGAGGGGCCCUGGCCAGGAACCUGUUAGAGACAGUUAUUUUGUCACCGACUGGAAUGGCCUUGGGACAGAGCACCGCUGUCUACCUCCCCCUGCCUGUCACGCUGUCUUUCUCAACCCUGUCACCCCCGUCAGCCUUAACGUUGGCCUUCCCCUCAGUUUCCUGCUGUGUUGGCCUGGGGAUGGGGAUUCCUGCAGAAACCAGUAAGCGUACGAUGAGGAAGCUCUCAGGUCACAUUACAGUUCACGCGCAUAGGCGAGGGUGUUCAGUCCUGAAGAGCAGCCGGUUCCCCAGCAUGAGAACAGAGCCCUGAACAGCCCACGGGGAGCCAGUGAGAGUCCCACCUGUGAGCACCGGGGAAAGUUAAGUCUUGAGUGAAGAGUUGGUUGGAAAAGGAAGCUGAACAGAAAAACUGGGUCGUCAACACACUCAAGAUGAUAAACAACCUUUACAUAAAUAAAUACAUAUAUGUGUAUAAAGCAAUUAUCUAGAUUGAGAAGUUACAAAUUUUAAAAAUGAGGACCACAGACAUCACAAACUCAAGCAAAAUACCCUGACAUUUUUCUUAAC
ensembl:lncRNA